rnacentral:rRNA from 1 species
CAGCCGCCGCGGGAAUACGUAGGGUGCGAGCGUUAAUCGGAAUUACUGGGCGUAAAGCGUGCGCAGGCGGUUAUAUAAGACAGAUGUGAAAUCCCCGGGCUCAACCUGGGACCUGCAUUUGUGACUGUAUAGCUAGAGUACGGUAGAGGGGGAUGGAAUUCCGCGUGUAGCAGUGAAAUGCGUAGAUAUGCGGAGGAACACCGAUGGCGAAGGCAAUCCCCUGGACCUGUACUGACGCUCAUGCACGAAAGCGUGGGGAGCAAACAGGAUUAGAGACCCCUGUAGUCCCUGUCUCUUAUAC